rnacentral:rRNA from 1 species
UACGUAGGGGGCAAGCGUUGUCCGGAAUCAUUGGGCGUAAAGAGCGUGUAGGUGGCUCGGUAAGUCCGCUGUGAAAGUCCAGGGCUCAACCCUGGAAAGCCGGUGGAAACUGUCGAGCUCGAGUCCGGAAGAGGCGAGUGGAAUUCCUGGUGUAGCGGUGAAAUGCGCAGAUAUCAGGAAGAACACCCGUGGCUAAGGCGGCUCUCUAGGACGGCACUGACGCUGAGACGCGAAAGCGUGGGGAGCGAACAGG